rnacentral:rRNA from 1 species
GAUGAACGCUGGCGGCGUGCCUAAUACAUGCAAGUCGAGCGAACAGACGAGGAGCUUGCUCCUCUGACGUUAGCGGCGGACGGGUGAGUAACACGUGGAUAACCUACCUAUAAGACUGGGAUAACUUCGGGAAACCGGAGCUAAUACCGGAUAAUAUAUUGAACCGCAUGGUUCAAUAGUUAAAGACGGUUUUUCUUUCACUUAUAGAUUGAUCCGCGCCGCAUUAGCUAGUUGGUAAGGUAACGGCUUACCAAGGCAACGAUGCGUAGCCGACCUGAGAGCGUGAUCGGACACACUGGAACUGAGAAACGGUACAGACUCCUACGGGAGGCAGCAGUAGGGAAUCUUCCGCGAUGGGCGAAAGCUUGACGGAGCAACGCCGCGUGAGUGAUGAAGGUCUUCGGAUCGUAAAACUCUGUUAUUAGGGAAGAACAAAUGUGUAAGUAACUAUGCACGUCUUGACGGUACCUAAUCAGAAAGCCACGGCUAACUACGUG